rnacentral:rRNA from 1 species
AGAUUGAACGUUGGCGGCAUGCCUAACACAUGCAAGUCGAACGGGAGUAGCAAUACUCUAGUGGCGGACGGGUGAGGAAUACGUAGGAAUUUGCCCUUAAGUGGGGGAUAACCCGGGGAAACCCGGAUUAAUACCGCAUGACCUCGAAAGAGCAAAGUGGGGGAUCGCAAGACCUCACGCUUUUGGAGAAGCCUACGUCGGAUUAGCUAGUUGGUGAGUAUGGCUCACCAAGGCGACGAUCCGUAACUGGUCUGAGAGGAUGAUCAGUCACACCGGACUGAGACACGGUCCGACU